rnacentral:lncRNA from 1 species
UAUUUUGAGGUGGAAGUUUGGAAAAUCAAACAUAUUUGAAAAUUUUCUAAGUACCAAGUCAAAUGUUCACUUCUUCCAUAUUGAAUAACUUUUGCUAUGGUUUAAAAUGGAAACAGUUCCUUCAUCAAAAUUGUAUCUCUUUCAAACCUAUUCAAUUUGGUCAAAAAUUUGACCUCAUUUGGAUUUUGCAUGAAGGAGAUAUGCAUUUUAGAAGUUGAGGAAAAU